GCUGGGGUAGCUCAGCUGGUAGAGCACCUCCUUGGUAAGGAGGAGGUCGUGGGUUCAAACCCCAUCCCCAGCU
rnacentral:tRNA from 1 species